rnacentral:rRNA from 1 species
UACAGAGGGUGCAAGCGUUGUUCGGAAUUACUGGGCGUAAAGGGCUCGUAGGCGGCCGGCUAAGUCCGACGUGAAAUCCCCAGGCUUAACCUGGGAACUGCGUCGGAUACUGGCGGGCUUGAAUCCGGGAGAGGGAUGCGGAAUUCCAGGUGUAGCGGUGAAAUGCGUAGAGAUCCGGAGGAACACCAGUGGCGUAGGCGGCUCUCUGGGUCCGCCCUGACGCUGAGGCACGAAAGCGUGGGGAGCGAACAGG